GACGAACGCUGGCGGCGUGCCUAAUACAUGCAAGUUGAGCGCUGAAGGUUGGUACUUGUACCGACUGGAUGAGCAGCGAACGGGUGAGUAACGCGUGGGGAAUCUGCCUUUGAGCGGGGGACAACAUUUGGAAACGAAUGCUAAUACCGCAUAAAAACUUUAAACACAAGUUUUAAGUUUGAAAGAUGCAAUUGCAUCACUCAAAGAUGAUCCCGCGUUGUAUUAGCUAGUUGGUGAGGUAAAGGCUCACCAAGGCGAUGAUACAUAGCCGACCUGAGAGGGUGAGCAGCCACAUUGGGACUGAGACACGGCCCAAACUCCUACGGGAGGCAGCAGUAGGGCAUCUUCGGCAAUGGACGAAAGUCUGACCGAGCAACGCCGCGGGAGUGAAGAAGGUUUUCGGAUCGUAAAACUCUGUUGGUAGAGAAGAACGUUGGUGAGAGUGGAAAGCUCAUCAAGUGACGGUAACUACCCAGAAAGGGACGGCUAACUACGUGCCAGCAGCCGCCGUAACAC
rnacentral:rRNA from 1 species